UACGAAGGGUGCAAACGUUGCUCGGAAUUAUUGGGCGUAAAGCGCGUGUAGGCGGCUUUGCAAGUCGGAUGUGAAAUCCCACGGCUCAACCGUGGAAGUGCAUCCGAAACUGGCAGGCUAGAGUACUAAAGAGGGUCGCGGAAUUCCCGGUGUAGAGGUGAAAUUCGUAGAUAUCGGGAGGAACACCGGUGGCGAAGGCGGCGACCUGGGUAGAUACUGACGCUGAGGUGCGAAAGCGUGGGGAGCAAACAGG
rnacentral:rRNA from 1 species